AGCGAACGCUGGCGGCAGGCCUAACACAUGCAAGUCGAACGAAGUCUUCGGACUUAGUGGCGGACGGGUGAGUAACACGUGGGAACGUGCCUUUAGGUUCGGAAUAACUCAGGGAAACUUGUGCUAAUACCGAAUGUGCCCUUCGGGGGAAAGGUUUAUCGCCUUUAGAGCGGCCCGCGUCUGAUUAGCUUGUUGGUGAGGUAAUGGCUCACCAAGGCGACGAUCAGUAGCUGGUCUGAGAGGAUGACCAGCCACAUUGGGACUGAGACACGGCCCAAACUCCUACGGGAGGCAGCAGUGGGGAAUCUUGCGCAAUGGGCGAAAGCCUGACGCAGCCAUGCCGCGCGGAUGAUGAAGGUCUUAGGAUUGUAAAAUCCUUUCACCGGUGAAGAUAAUGACUGUAGCCGGAGAAGAAGCCCCGGCUAACUUCGUGCCAGCAGCCGCCGUAAUAC
rnacentral:rRNA from 1 species